rnacentral:rRNA from 1 species
ACCAUCAGGGAUUGCCUCAGUAGCGGCGAGUGAAGCGGCAAGAGCUCAGAUUUGAAAUCGUGCUUUGCGGCACGAGUUGUAGAUUGCAGGUUGGAGUCUGUGUGGAAGGCGGUGUCCAAGUCCCUUGGAACAGGGCGCCCAGGAGGGUGAGAGCCCCGUGGGAUGCCGGCGGAAGCAGUGAGGCCCUUCUGACGAGUCGAGUUGUUUGGGAAUGCAGCUCCAAGCGGGUGGUAAAUUCCAUCUAAGGCUAAAUACUGGCGAGAGACCGAUAGCGAACAAGUACUGUGAAGGAAAGAUGAAAAGCACUUUGAAAAGAGAGUGAAACAGCACGUGAAAUUGUUGAAAGGGAAGGGUAUUGCGCCCGACAUGGGGAUUGCGCACCGCUGCCUCUCGUGGGCGGCGCUCUGGGCUUUCCCUGGGCCAGCAUCGGUUCUUGCUGCAGGAGAAGGGGUUCUGGAACGUGGCUCUUCGGAGUGUUAUAGCCAGGGCCAGAUGCUGCGUGCGGGGACCGAGGACUGCGGCCGUGUGGUCACGGAUGCUGGCAGAUCGGCGCAUCACCGCCCGUCUGGAAACACGGACCA